GGCAUGGUGGCUUAGUGGUUAGCAUGUUUGCCUCACACGUCUAGUGUUGUGGGUUCAAUUGCUGCCUUUGCUG